AUUGAACGCUGGCGGCAUGCUUUACACAUGCAAGUCGAACGGUAACAGGGUGCUUGCACCGCUGACGAGUGGCGAACGGGUGAGUAAUGCGUCGGAACGUGCCGAGUAGUGGGGGAUAACGCAGCGAAAGUUGUGCUAAUACCGCAUACGUACUGAGGUAGAAAGUGGGGGACCUUCGGGCCUCACGCUAUUCGAGCGGCCGACGUCGGAUUAGCUAGUAGGUGAGGUAAAGGCUCACCUAGGCGACGAUCAGUAGCGGGUCUGAGAGGAUGGUCCGCCACACUGGGACUGAGACACGGCCCAGACUCCUACGGGAGGCAGCAGUGGGGAAUUUUGGACAGUGGGCGAAAGCCUGAUCCAGCCAUGCCGCGUGUCUGAAGAAGGCCUUCGGGUUGUAAAGGACUUUUGUCAGGGAGGAAAUCCCUAGUGCUAAUAACACUGGGGGAUGACAGUACCUGAAGAAUAAGCACCGGCUAACUACGUGCCAGCCGCCGCAGUAAGAC
rnacentral:rRNA from 1 species